GACAGAGGGUGCAAACGUUGUUCGGAAUACUGGGCGUAAAGCGCGUGUAGGCGGUCUCGCAAGUCGGAUGUGAAAGCCCAGGGCUCAACCCUGGAACGUGCACUCGAUACUGCGAGGCUAGAGUCCCGGAGAGGAUGGUGGAACUCUCGGUGUAGAGGUGAAGUUCGUAGAUAUCGAGAAGAACACCGGUGGCGAAGGCGGCCAUCUGGACGGUGACUGACGCUGAGACGCGAACGUGGGAGCAACAGGAUUAAGAUCCCGGUAGUAAGCUCAGACCAAGACCUCUGUCACG
rnacentral:rRNA from 1 species